GACCUUGCCUCUUGGCAAAACACAAAGCAGAGCCUCUUUUGGUUUGGUAGGUCUGGUGAUUACCGGAGUCGAAGAAUCAGAGGCGACAUAAGCAAAAAG
rnacentral:ncRNA from 1 species